rnacentral:rRNA from 1 species
GAUGAACGCUAGCUACAGGCUUAACACAUGCAAGUCGCGGGGCAGCAUGGGGGUUGCUUGCAAUCCCCGAUGGCGACCGGCGCACGGGUGAGUAACGCGUAUCCAACCUGCCCUUCACCACGGGAUAACCCGGCGAAAGUCGGACUAAUACCGUAUGUUGUCCAUUGACGGCAUCCGAUUUGGACGAAAGGUUUGGCGGUGAAGGAUGGGGAUGCGUCCGAUUAGCUGGACGGCGGGGUGACGGCCCACCGUGGCGACGAUCGGUAGGGGUUCUGAGAGGAAGGUCCCCCACACUGGAACUGAGACACGGUCCAGACUCCUACGGGAGGCAGCAGUGAGGAAUAUUGGUCAAUGGGCGUAAGCCUGAACCAGCCAAGUAGCGUGCAGGAUGACGGCACUAUGGGUUGUAAACUGCUUUUAUGCGGGGAUAAAGUGGCCCACGUGUGGGUUUUUGCAGGUACCGCAUGAAUAAGGACCGGCUAAUUCCGUG